UUUUAUGUUUCUUCCAGGGUGAUUUGCUCUGGUAUAUCUUCGAUGUAAUCUAUAUGUAUAAUGAUUUAUGGAUAACUGACGGCUCAGUACAUUGAGAAUAAAAUUCCCCGAGUAAAUUUACUCUUUGCAAAGAGGGAAAAAUUAGUUAUCAUGUCCGUAUGCUCUCAUCGCCGUGGUAGUGCAUUACAUGUGGCGUUGCUGAAGAUGUUUGAGGAUGAAAGUAGGUAGGUAAGUAGGUAUAAGCGGAAGUCGGCUUAACGGUUACGAGACAAGCCUCGCACUUGUUCAAUAAGAGAUGAUACGACACAACCCGAGGCUUAAAACUUGCUCAAAUAAUAUAUUUGAAGAGUAAAAGCUACAGACUUUUAUAUUACACGUUUUUAUGACAGGGCCAGAUAAGUCAAUCAAGGAAAAUCCUGUGGGAAAAUGAAACAAACAAAUUUAGUUGUUACUAGCUGGGGUGAGAAUUUAUUUAAGUCUGGCGAUGGUGAGCGAGGUAGAGCUUUGCGAGUUCUGACGGACACUACAGGGUUGGAGAACAAUAGUGACGUUGUGAAGGCCGAUGACCCUCUAGGAGUUGCCACU